rnacentral:lncRNA from 1 species
CUCUCCAUGCCAAUAAAUUUUUUUCUCCUUAUAUGUGUGAUAUUUUGAGGAGAUUUUUUAUGGAAGAUCAGUUGGAAAUUAGUUUACAUAAAAAAAUAUAGGAAGGGGCAUCUCAUAUUUUUUUGAUAUGUUUUGGGAUGUAGAAUUGUGAAGGAAGGUAGAAUCCUGUAAGAGUCCAAGAUCACUAGGACUCUUCACCCCACCUCCUUACAUGCCUAUAAAAGGGAUUUUUAUAGUUUCUUUUAUGUAUGUAAGAUA